GACGAACGCUGGCGGCGUGCUUAACACAUGCCAGUCGAACGGAAAGGCCCUGCUUUUGUGGGGUGCUCGAGUGGCGAACGGGUGAGUAACACGUGAGUAACCUGCCCUUGACUUUGGGAUAACUUCAGGAAACUGGGGCUAAUACCGGAUAGGAGCUCCUGCUGCAUGGUGGGGGUUGGAAAGUUUCGGCGGUUGGGGAUGGACUCGCGGCUUAUCAGCUUGUUGGUGGGGUAGUGGCUUACCAAGGCUUUGACGGGUAGCCGGCCUAAGAGGGUGACCGGCCACAUUGGGACUGAGAUAAGGCCCAGAAUCCUACGGGAGGCAGCAGUGGGGAAUAUUGCACAAUGGGCGGAAGCCUGAUGCAGCAACGCCGCGUGCGGGAUGACGGCCUUCGGGUUGUAAACCGCCUUCGCCUGUGACGAAGCGUGAGUGACGGUAAUGGGUAAAGAAGCAACGGCUAAAUACGUG
rnacentral:rRNA from 1 species